UGUCUCAGCUUUCUCUGUCCCUUGUGUCUUACUCCAUCUCUCUUCAUAAAACUUUCUUACAUUGUAUGCAAAAUCCCAUUCUUUUUUUUUUUAUUCAUAAAACAAUUUAAUUUCCUAGAAAAUCCCAUUCACAACUUCCCCUUUGUUUCAAUCUUUGAAAUCCCAUUUCUUCAAAAACCCAUCGUUUUCUUCUCAUUGUUUUGAAAUGAGUAAUUCCCAGGCAGCCAAGUCAACAAAGCCUUCAAAGGCUUCAACUUUACCUCCUCCUUCAAACCCUCCAAAACCCUCUUCACUUUCUUCUCAUCUUGCAAUGGUGGAACAAAAGCAAAGGAUUCUAACCUCACUUUCCAAGCUCUCUGACCGUGAUACUUACCAGAUUGCCGUUGAAGAUCUUGAAACGAUAAUCCAAUCUAUUUCCCAUGAAUCCCUUCCUAUGUUACUCAAUUGCCUUUUUGAUUCUUCCAACGAUCCAAAACCAGCUGUGAAAAAAGAAUCCUUAAGGUUACUGUCAGUGCUAUGUAAUUGCCACGGUGAAUUGGCAGCUUCCCAUUUGGCUAAAAUCGUUGCCCACAUUGUUAAAAGGCUGAAAGAUGCUGAUUCAGGUGUGAAAGAUGCUUGUCGCGAUUCGAUUGGGGCCCUUUCAGGGCAGUAUUUGAAAGGGGAGAAUGGGGGGACUGUGGUGGGAUUGUUUGUAAAGCCAUUGUUCGAAGCAAUGGGAGAACAGAAUAAAGGGGUGCAAUCUGGUGCGGCAACAUGUAUGGCUAAGAUGGUGGAAUGUGCUUCUGACCCUCCUUUGGCUGCUUUUCACAAGCUGUGUCCAAGGAUCUGCAAGCUGUUGAAUAACCAGAAUUUUUUGGCUAAGGCUUCCCUUUUGCCAGUAGUGGCGAGUUUGUCACAGGUGGGAGUGAUUGCCCCGCAGAGCUUGGAACCUUUACUGCAAAGCAUCCAUGAAUGCCUUGGGAGCACAGACUGGGCAACUCGGAAGGCAGCUGCUGAUGCUUUAAGUGCCUUGGCACUACAUUCAAGCAACUUGAUUGCAGAUAGAGCAUCUUCAACGAUAACAUUACUGGAGGAUUGCCGAUUUGAUAGGAUAAAACCUGUGAGAGAUGCCAUGACAGAAGCAUUGCAAUUAUGGAAGAAGAUUGCAGGGAAAGGGGAUGAUGGAGCUGCAGAUUACCAGAAAGCCUCAUCUUGUGAUGGUGACAAUACUCAAACUACUGAAUCAUCACAAAAGAAUGGCUUGAAAAACCCAAAUGCUGGUGGUAAAAAAAAUGACCCAUCAGUGAAGGAUUCAUCUAAUAAUCUUUCCCCUACUUCUGAUUCUGUUUCCAAAGGCAAAGGUGGAAGCAUUCCUGAAAAAGCAGUUGUAAUUUUAAAGAAGAAAGCACCUGCAUUAACGGACAAAGAGUUAAAUCCUGAAUUCUUCCAGAAACUUGAAUCGAGGGGUUCUGGUGAUUUGCCAGUUGAAGUAAUUGUUCCUCGCAGAUACUGUAAUUCUUCAAACAUGAAGGGUGAGGAAGAAUCAGAACUGCAUGAUCCAGAUGCAAGAAGAAGAUUGAAUUGUCUACGAAACAGCCAGACAGAUGACAUUCAUGCAUCUUCCAACUGCAAAGACCAUAACAUGGAGAGAGGAGCUGCUGAUGUGGGGGAUAAAUGGCCUGAAGAGAAGAUAAAUGGGAAAUACCUAAGAACAAAGGCAUUUGAGGCUGAUGGCAGGAUAGAUGUAAAUCAAAGAGAACAAUCUGGAAAUCAUUUGGGUUGCUCAAAGGUGGAUGGACAGUCUGAAGGGUCAUUCAUCAGCAAUAAAGGAAAUUGGCUGGCUAUUCAGAGGCAGCUAUUGCAGCUUGAGAGACAACAAGCGAAUCUCAUGAACAUGUUGCAGGAUUUUAUGGGUGGUUCUCAUCAUAGCAGGGUAACUUUAGAAAACAGAGUUAGGGGUCUUGAGAGAAUUGUUGAAGACAUGGCUAGGGAUUUAUCAAUAUCUUCAGGCAGAAGCGGUAAUUUUAUGCCGGGGUUUGAGGGAUCGUCUAACAGACCUUUAGGGAAAUAUAAUGGCUUCUCUGAUUAUAGUUCUAAGUUCAAUGGACAAAUCCCAUACGGAGAGAGGUUUGCGCAAUCUGACGGAACUGCUCCGGGCGGCCGUGGAAGGGGACCUUCUUGGAGAUCUGAAAUUUCUGACGAUUGGGAUUUCCCUGCAUUCGGUGCUUCUAGGAAUGGGCAAAUUGCAUCAAGAAGAGAUCCAGCUAGCAGCGGCCUGGAUGGUAGAUCACCCAAAUCAGAACACGAGAGUGAUCAGGUUGGUGGCAGGAGGGCUUGGGAUAAAGGUCCCGGUCCUGUGAGGCUUGAUGAAGGGCCUUCUGCUAGAAGUGUCUGGCAAGCAUCAAAGGAUGAAGCUACCUUGGAAGCAAUUCGUGUAGCUGGUGAGGAUAGUGGAGCAUCGCGAACAGGAUGUGCUCCUGAAUUGAUUGCUGAAGCUGUUGGAGAUGAUAAUGUUGGACCGGAGCGAGAUCCUAUAUGGACUUCUUGGAGCAAUGCAAUGCACGCCCUUCAAGUAGGUGAUAUGGAUUCUGCUUAUGCUGAGGUUCUGUCUACAGGGGAUGAUCUCUUGCUUAUAAAACUAAUGGAUAGAUCGGGCCCUGUGGUUGACCAACUAUCCAAUGAGUUAGCAAAUGAGGCUUUGCAUGCUAUUCUGCAAUUUCUUCUGGAGCAGGAUUUGUUUGAUAUUUGUCUAUCCUGGAUUCAACAGCUGGUAGAAGUUGUGUUAGAAAAUGGACCUGAUGCACUGGGUAUUUCUAUGGAGUUGAAGAAAGAGCUUUUGUUGAAUUUGCAUGAGGCAGCUUCCACAUUGGAUCCACCUGAGGAUUGGGAAGGUGUGGCACCUGACCAACUUCUAUUGCAGUUAGCAUCAACCUGGGGAAUUGAGCUGCAACAGUUUGAUAAGUAAUCUCUGCUGGUUUUGAAAUCUUGUGUUGUGCUUGCAAACUUCUUGAUGAGGAUUCUGGUUCAAUGCAUUUAUUUUACAUGAAUGGCAGAUUAACAAAGCCUGCCUUGAUUCAGAGGGACAAGAGUACUGUAAAAAGGAUAAAAUGUUUGGAAGAUGAAACUAUAUCAAAGCACACCUGAAAGGUGUUUACAAUCUAAUGGUAUAGCAUGUUGUGGUUGAGACGAUGGCUUAAUGAGAGACAGGAUGUUCUAAUGGCUUUUAUUUUUGAACCUUGCCGAUGCUUCUGACAUUUUACGUUUUUAUCAACACUCAGGCUAUAAAUAAUACAGGUAUAAAACUAUAGAACAGCAUGAAUUACAUAAAAGGAAACAAAAUCAAGCAUACCUUCAUUUCUCAAAAGGAAGGAAAAAGAAUCAUAGUACUAUCAGUAUUUUACAAGGAACUAACUAACGACAACAAUAAUUUCUGUACAUAUGGUGCUGCAGUGCAACUAAAGCCCCAAAGCAUGCCCCAAAUCCACAAAAAAACCCCAAAGGCUACAUCACUGAACAGAAGAUGAAAUGCCUAAGGAACAGCCUUAGGUAUGAAAUUACCGCAGCACCAAAGAAAAGGACAACUCGAGCUCUGACAUCCCUCUUUAGAGGAAAAAGCAGCAUCUUGGAAUAAAGUUCUUGAAACCAAAAUUUACAUGUUCGGAGCUCGAACCACUGUCUAUUUGGCAGCAUACCAGUUUUGAGCACACUUGGCGUCAACAGCUAGUUCAACUUUAAGAGUGUUCUUUCCUCCAAAGGGCUUUGACAUGCAGUCAACAACAAUUGCUUUUGCAAUCUCAGCCGACUCACUUGGUCCUUCCAAGAUUACUUCAUCAUGAACCUGU